CUCUUGACAUCCAGAGAACUUAGCAGAGAUGCUUUGGUGCCUUCGGGAACUCUGAGACAGGUGCUGCAUGGCUGUCGUCAGCUCGUGUUGUGAAAUGUUGGGUUAAGUCCCGCAACGAGCGCAACCCUUAUCCUUUGUUGCCAGCGGUUAGGCCGGGAACUCAAAGGAGACUGCCAGUGAUAAACUGGAGGAAGGUGGGGAUGACGUCAAGUCAUCAUGGCCCUUACGAGUAGGGCUACACACGUGCUACAAUGGCGCAUACAAAGAGAAGCGACCUCGCGAGAGCAAGCGGACCUCAUAAAGUGCGUCGUAGUCCGGAUUGGAGUCUGCAACUCGACUCCAUGAAGUCGGAAUCGCUAGUAAUCGUGGAUCAGAAUGCCACGGUGAAUACGUUCCCGGGCCUUGUACACACCGCCCGUCACACCAUGGGAGUGGGUUGCAAAAGAAGUAGGUAGCUUAACCUUCGGGAGGGCGCUUACCACUUUGUGAUUCAUGACUGGGGUGAAGUCGUAACAAGGUAACCGUAGGGGAACCUGCGGUUGGAUCACCUCCUUA
rnacentral:rRNA from 1 species